GAACACUUCUUUUCUGCCCGGAUAGUGGAAGCUGAGUGAUCAACAUCAUAUCUCCAUUUUAAAGAGAACCAAAUUUUGAAGAGGUUCAGUAAAUCAUCUAGUGUAACACAAGUCUAAACAAGAAUACUGAAAGAUGUCUGGGCAGCUACUGUAUUCUUCUUGAAUAGUGACAAUCUCAACUUUAUCCAGGAUUCCCUCAGAAGCUAUUAAAGUCUAAGACCAAGAUCCUUCUACUAUUUCACUGGGAGAAAGAGAACAGGAUUUAAAGAUAGAACAACAGAGCCUGACUCAACAGCUCUGCCUCUUACAGGCUGUGUGAUCUUAACACCAUUUUUCUUGCUUCUAUUAACUUCAGAGUCCUCUCCUGUUAAAGAAUAAUGCCACACAUGUAUCUAUUGAGCGCAUUCUCUGUGUCUGGCAUUGUGCUGUGAAUAUAGAAAAGAUGGGAAACUUACUCUGGCUCUCUUCUUGAAUGUGGUCCCACGACAUGGAUUUGGACACCCUGAGAUCUUCUUGGACCAAUAGAACUUUCUGAGAUGGAAAUGUGAUCUGUAUCUAGAUAUUCAUGCUAAAAGAGAAAUGUGUACAGUGAUGUUUCUCUUAUGUGUGUGUUGCAUUUCACAAAAAAAUUAUGCCUACAGCCUGA